CAUAAUGACGUCACAAAGUCAAAGCAAGUGAACUCCUUGUCCCAUUUUCAUGGCUUACCACUACGGAAUAUGAUGAAAUUACAGUUUGAAUGGGAGAACACCAACCUCACCAGCAGCCACAGUAGAAGGGGAAACAUCAGCAACAGCAAGAACAUCAGCUACCAGAACGAAGGAGCAGAAGUUUCUAACAAUUACCAAUGUGCUCCCCACCUUUACCAAAACUUCAGGCUCAAUACUGCAGCCAAUUGGGAGGGUGCUUAAAACCACCUCCGACACAAAUGAAACAGCAGGCACUCCAAAGCAGAAUCAACCAGCCUCUUGUAAGGCAGAAGACUGACACACAGAUUCAAGGUAACUCUGGAUCAUGUGAGGAAGGGCCACACCUGCAGGGAGACAGGCAAAGACUCCAAUCAUGUGGCCUCUGAUGUUCAGAUAUGUCUGAAGCUACCUUCCACUUCAUAUCAAGCAAGCAGGAGCUACUCACCAACUGCUUCUUAGAACUACUAGAGGGAAUCGCUGGCUGCUCUUGACCAUCUGAAAAAGUUGUUCUUAAAAAGUUGUUCUUAAAGCAUGCCAUAGUACUGUAGUAAUUUUCCCCCCAGCUCUUCCUCUCACCCCCAACCCCAUAAAUGUUUCUCUGAAAAUAGUAUAAAGAUAGGCCCAGA